rnacentral:rRNA from 1 species
GGUUAAGCGACUAAGCGUACACGGUGGAUGCCCUGGCAGUCAGAGGCGAUGAAGGACGUGCUAAUCUGCGAUAAGCGUCGGUAAGGUGAUAUGAACCGUUAUAACCGGCGAUUUCCGAAUGGGGAAACCCAGUGUGUUUCGACACACUAUCAUUAACUGAAUCCAUAGGUUAAUGAGGCGAACCGGGGGAACUGAAACAUCUAAGUACCCCGAGGAAAAGAAAUCAACCGAGAUUCCCCCAGUAGCGGCGAGCGAACGGGGAGCAGCCCAGAGCCUGAAUCAGUGUGUGUGUUAGUGGAAGCGUCUGGAAAGGCGCGCGAUACAGGGUGACAGCCCCGUACACAAAAAUGCACAUGCUGUGAGCUCGAUGAGUAGGGCGGGACACGUGGUAUCCUGUCUGAAUAUGGGGGGACCAUCCUCCAAGGCUAAAUACUCCUGACUGACCGAUAGUGAACCAGUACCGUGAGGGAAAGGCGAAAAGAACCCCGGCGAGGGGAGUGAAAAAGAACCUGAAACCGUGUACGUACAAGCAGUGGGAGCACGCUUAGGCGUGUGACUGCGUACCUUUUGUAUAAUGGGUCAGCGACUUAUAUUCUGUAGCAAGGUUAACCGAAUAGGGGAGCCGAAGGGAAACCGAGUCUUAACUGGGCGUUAAGUUGCAGGGUAUAGACCCGAAACCCGGUGAUCUAGCCAUGGGCAGGUUGAAGGUUGGGUAACACUAACUGGAGGACCGAACCGACUAAUGUUGAAAAAUUAGCGGAUGACUUGUGGCUGGGGGUGAAAGGCCAAUCAAACCGGGAGAUAGCUGGUUCUCCCCGAAAGCUAUUUAGGUAGCGCCUCGUGAAUUCAUCUCCGGGGGUAGAGCACUGUUUCGGCAAGGGGGUCAUCCCGACUUACCAACCCGAUGCAAACUGCGAAUACCGGAGAAUGUUAUCACGGGAGACACACGGCGGGUGCUAACGUCCGUCGUGAAGAGGGAAACAACCCAGACCGCCAGCUAAGGUCCCAAAGUCAUGGUUAAGUGGGAAACGAUGUGGGAAGGCCCAGACAGCCAGGAUGUUGGCUUAGAAGCAGCCAUCAUUUAAAGAAAGCGUAAUAGCUCACUGGUCGAGUCGGCCUGCGCGGAAGAUGUAACGGGGCUAAACCAUGCACCGAAGCUGCGGCAGCGACACUGUGUGUUGUUGGGUAGGGGAGCGUUCUGUAAGCCUGUGAAGGUGUACUGUGAGGUAUGCUGGAGGUAUCAGAAGUGCGAAUGCUGACAUAAGUAACGAUAAAGCGGGUGAAAAGCCCGCUCGCCGGAAGACCAAGGGUUCCUGUCCAACGUUAAUCGGGGCAGGGUGAGUCGACCCCUAAGGCGAGGCCGAAAGGCGUAGUCGAUGGGAAACAGGUUAAUAUUCCUGUACUUGGUGUUACUGCGAAGGGGGGACGGAGAAGGCUAUGUUGGCCGGGCGACGGUUGUCCCGGUUUAAGCGUGUAGGCUGGUUUUCCAGGCAAAUCCGGAAAAUCAAGGCUGAGGCGUGAUGACGAGGCACUACGGUGCUGAAGCAACAAAUGCCCUGCUUCCAGGAAAAGCCUCUAAGCAUCAGGUAACAUCAAAUCGUACCCCAAACCGACACAGGUGGUCAGGUAGAGAAUACCAAGGCGCUUGAGAGAACUCGGGUGAAGGAACUAGGCAAAAUGGUGCCGUAACUUCGGGAGAAGGCACGCUGAUAUGUAGGUGAAGUCCCUCGCGGAUGGAGCUGAAAUCAGUCGAAGAUACCAGCUGGCUGCAACUGUUUAUUAAAAACACAGCACUGUGCAAACACGAAAGUGGACGUAUACGGUGUGACGCCUGCCCGGUGCCGGAAGGUUAAUUGAUGGGGUCAGCGCAAGCGAAGCUCUUGAUCGAAGCCCCGGUAAACGGCGGCCGUAACUAUAACGGUCCUAAGGUAGCGAAAUUCCUUGUCGGGUAAGUUCCGACCUGCACGAAUGGCGUAAUGAUGGCCAGGCUGUCUCCACCCGAGACUCAGUGAAAUUGAACUCGCUGUGAAGAUGCAGUGUACCCGCGGCAAGACGGAAAGACCCCGUGAACCUUUACUAUAGCUUGACACUGAACAUUGAGCCUUGAUGUGUAGGAUAGGUGGGAGGCUUUGAAGUGUGGACGCCAGUCUGCAUGGAGCCGACCUUGAAAUACCACCCUUUAAUGUUUGAUGUUCUAACGUUGACCCGUGAUCCGGGUUGCGGACAGUGUCUGGUGGGUAGUUUGACUGGGGCGGUCUCCUCCUAAAGAGUAACGGAGGAGCACGAAGGUUGGCUAAUCCUGGUCGGACAUCAGGAGGUUAGUGCAAUGGCAUAAGCCAGCUUGACUGCGAGCGUGACGGCGCGAGCAGGUGCGAAAGCAGGUCAUAGUGAUCCGGUGGUUCUGAAUGGAAGGGCCAUCGCUCAACGGAUAAAAGGUACUCCGGGGAUAACAGGCUGAUACCGCCCAAGAGUUCAUAUCGACGGCGGUGUUUGGCACCUCGAUGUCGGCUCAUCACAUCCUGGGGCUGAAGUAGGUCCCAAGGGUAUGGCUGUUCGCCAUUUAAAGUGGUACGCGAGCUGGGUUUAGAACGUCGUGAGACAGUUCGGUCCCUAUCUGCCGUGGGCGCUGGAGAACUGAGGGGGGCUGCUCCUAGUACGAGAGGACCGGAGUGGACGCAUCACUGGUGUUCGGGUUGUCAUGCCAAUGGCACUGCCCGGUAGCUAAAUGCGGAAGAGAUAAGUGCUGAAAGCAUCUAAGCACGAAACUUGCCCCGAGAUGAGUUCUCCCUGACUCCUUGAGAGUCCUGAAGGAACGUUGAAGACGACGACGUUGAUAGGCCGGGUGUGUAAGCGCAGCGAUGCGUUGAGCUAACCGGUACUAAUGAACCGUGAGGCUUAACCUU